CUGGCUCAGGAUGAACGCUAGCGGCAGGCCUAACACAUGCAAGUCGAGGGGGUAACAUAGAAAAGCUUGCUUUUCUGAUGACGACCGGCGCACGGGUGAGUAACGCGUAUACAACCUACCUUUUAGCGGGGAAUAGCCCAGGGAAACUUGGAUUAAUGUCCCAUAGUAUGGAGGUCUCUCCUGAGAUCAUCAUUAAACAUUUAUGGCUAUUAGAUGGGUAUGCGUCCUAUUAGUUAGUUGGUAAGGUAACGGCUUACCAAGGCAGCGAUAGGUAGGGGUCCUGAGAGGGAGAUCCCCCACACUGGUACUGAGACACGGACCAGACUCCUACGGGAGGCAGCAGUGAGGAAUAUUGGACAAUGGGCGRGAGCCUGAUCCAGCCAUGCCGCGUGCAGGAAGACUGCCCUAUGGGUUGUAAACUGCUUUUACAGAGGAAGRACCACUCCCACGUGUGGGAGUUUGACGGUACUCUGCGAAUAAGGAUCGGCUAACUCCGUGCCAGCAGCCGCGGUAAUACGGAGGAUCSGAGCGUUAUCCGGAAUCAUUGGGUUUAAAGGGUCCGUAGGCGGGCAAUUAAGUCAGUGGUGAAAGUCUUCCGCUCAACGGGAGAACUGCCAUUGAUACUGAUUGUCUUGAGUUAUUAUGAAGUGGUUAGAAUGAGUAGUGUAGCGGUGAAAUGCAUAGAUAUUACUCAGAAUACCGAUUGCGAAGGCAGAUCACUAAUAAUACACUGACSCUGAUGGACGAAAGCGUAGGUAGCGAACAGGAUUAGAUACCCUGGUAGUCUACSCCGUAAACGAUGGUUACUAGCUGUUCGGCCCGAUUAAGGGUUGAGUGGUUAAGCGAAAGUGAUAAGUAACCCACCUGGGGAGUACGUUCGCAAGAAUGAAACUCAAAGGAAUUGACGGGGGCCCGCACAAGCGGUGGAGCAUGUGGUUUAAUUCGAUGAUACSCGAGGAACCUUACCAGGGCUUAAAUGUAGUCUGACAGGACUGGAAACAGUUUUUUCUUCGGACAGAUUACAAGGUGCUGCAUGGUUGUCGUCAGCUCGUGCCGUGAGGUGUCAGGUUAAGUCYCUAUAACGAGCGCAACUCYYUGUGGGUUAGUUGCYCAGCGAGUCAAGUCGGGAACUCUAGCYAGACUGCUCGGUGCAAACYCGUGAGGGAAGGUGGGGGAUGACGUCAAAUCAUCACGGCYCYUUACGUCCUGGG
rnacentral:rRNA from 1 species